rnacentral:rRNA from 1 species
UACGGAGGAUGCGAGCGUUAUCCGGAUUUAUUGGGUUUAAAGGGUGCGUAGGCGGAUUAAUAAGUCAGUGGUGAAAACCUGCAGCUUAACUGUAGAAUUGCCAUUGAUACUGUUAGUCUUGAGUACGGUCAAGGUAGGCGGAAUGUGUAAUGUAGCGGUGAAAUGCUUAGAUAUUACACAGAACACCGAUUGCGAAGGCAGCUUACUGGGCCAUUACUGACGCUGAGGCACGAAAGCGUGGGGAGCGAACAGG